GUUACAAGUGUCACACGGAACUGCCGGUCAUAAACCGGAGGAAGGUGGGAUGACGUCAAGUCAGCAUGGCCUUUAUAUCCUGGGCUACACACACACUACAAUGGGAAGGGACAAUAGGUUGCGAAGCCGCGAGGCGGAGCCAAUCCAGCAAAACUUCCCUCAGUUCAGAUUGCAGGCUGCAACUCGCCUGCAUGAAGUUGGAGUUGCUAGUAAACGCAGGUCAGCCAUACUGCGUUGAAUACGGUUCCCGGGGCUU
rnacentral:rRNA from 1 species